rnacentral:tRNA from 1 species
GAGGGUACAGCUCAGUGGCAGAGCAUGUGCUUAGCAUGCACGAAGUCCUGGGUUCAAUCCCCAGUACCUCCA